rnacentral:rRNA from 1 species
UCCUGUCUGAAUAUGGGGGGACCAUCCUCCAAGGCUAAAUACUCCUGACUGACCGAUAGUGAACCAGUACCGUGAGGGAAAGGCGAAAAGAACCCCGGCGAGGGGAGUGAAAAAGAACCUGAAACCGUGUACGUACAAGCAGUGGGAGCACAGAGCAAUCUGUGUGACUGCGUACCUUUUGUAUAAUGGGUCAGCGACUUAUAUUCUGUAGCAAGGUUAACCGAAUAGGGGAGCCGAAGGGAAACCGAGUCUUAACUGGGCGUUAAGUUGCAGGGUAUAGACCCGAAACCCGGUGAUCUAGCCAUGGGCAGGUUGAAGGUUGGGUAACACUAACUGGAGGACCGAACCGACUAAUGUUGAAAAAUUAGCGGAUGACUUGUGGCUGGGGGUGAAAGGCCAAUCAAACCGGGAGAUAGCUGGUUCUCCCCGAAAGCUAUUUAGGUAGCGCCUCGUGAAUUCAUCUCCGGGGGUAGAGCACUGUUUCGGCAAGGGGGUCAUCCCGACUUACCAACCCGAUGCAAACUGCGAAUACCGGAGAAUGUUAUCACGGGAGACACACGGCGGGUGCUAACGUCCGUCGUGAAGAGGGAAACAACCCAGACCGCCAGCUAAGGUCCCAAAGUCAUGGUUAAGUGGGAAACGAUGUGGGAAGGCCCAGACAGCCAGGAUGUUGGCUUAGAAGCAGCCAUCAUUUAAAGAAAGCGUAAUAGCUCACUGGUCGAGUCGGCCUGCGCGGAAGAUGUAACGGGGCUAAACCAUGCACCGAAGCUGCGGCAGCGACGCUUAUGCGUUGUUGGGUAGGGGAGCGUUCUGUAAGCCUGUGAAGGUGUACUGUGAGGUAUGCUGGAGGUAUCAGAAGUGCGAAUGCUGACAUAAGUAACGAUAAAGCGGGUGAAAAGCCCGCUCGCCGGAAGACCAAGGGUUCCUGUCCAACGUUAAUCGGGGCAGGGUGAGUCGACCCCUAAGGCGAGGCCGAAAGGCGUAGUCGAUGGGAAACAGGUUAAUAUUCCUGUACUUGGUGUUACUGCGAAGGGGGGACGGAGAAGGCUAUGUUGGCCGGGCGACGGUUGUCCCGGUUUAAGCGUGUAGGCUGGUUUUCCAGGCAAAUCCGGAAAAUCAAGGCUGAGGCGUGAUGACGAGGCACUACGGUGCUGAAGCAACAAAUGCCCUGCUUCCAGGAAAAGCCUCUAAGCAUCAGGUAACAUCAAAUCGUACCCCAAACCGACACAGGUGGUCAGGUAGAGAAUACCAAGGCGCUUGAGAGAACUCGGGUGAAGGAACUAGGCAAAAUGGUGCCGUAACUUCGGGAGAAGGCACGCUGAUAUGUAGGUGAAGUCCCUCGCGGAUGGAGCUGAAAUCAGUCGAAGAUACCAGCUGGCUGCAACUGUUUAUUAAAAACACAGCACUGUGCAAACACGAAAGUGGACGUAUACGGUGUGACGCCUGCCCGGUGCCGGAAGGUUAAUUGAUGGGGUCAGCGCAAGCGAAGCUCUUGAUCGAAGCCCCGGUAAACGGCGGCCGUAACUAUAACGGUCCUAAGGUAGCGAAAUUCCUUGUCGGGUAAGUUCCGACCUGCACGAAUGGCGUAAUGAUGGCCAGGCUGUCUCCACCCGAGACUCAGUGAAAUUGAACUCGCUGUGAAGAUGCAGUGUACCCGCGGCAAGACGGAAAGACCCCGUGAACCUUUACUAUAGCUUGACACUGAACAUUGAGCCUUGAUGUGUAGGAUAGGUGGGAGGCUUGGAAGUGUGGACGCCAGUCUGCAUGGAGCCGACCUUGAAAUACCACCCUUUAAUGUUUGAUGUUCUAACGUUGACCCGUGAUCCGGGUUGCGGACAGUGUCUGGUGGGUAGUUUGACUGGGGCGGUCUCCUCCUAAAGAGUAACGGAGGAGCACGAAGGUUGGCUAAUCCUGGUCGGACAUCAGGAGGUUAGUGCAAUGGCAUAAGCCAGCUUGACUGCGAGCGUGACGGCGCGAGCAGGUGCGAAAGCAGGUCAUAGUGAUCCGGUGGUUCUGAAUGGAAGGGCCAUCGCUCAACGGAUAAAAGGUACUCCGGGGAUAACAGGCUGAUACCGCCCAAGAGUUCAUAUCGACGGCGGUGUUUGGCACCUCGAUGUCGGCUCAUCACAUCCUGGGGCUGAAGUAGGUCCCAAGGGUAUGGCUGUUCGCCAUUUAAAGUGGUACGCGAGCUGGGUUUAGAACGUCGUGAGACAGUUCGGUCCCUAUCUGCCGUGGGCGCUGGAGAACUGAGGGGGGCUGCUCCUAGUACGAGAGGACCGGAGUGGACGCAUCACUGGUGUUCGGGUUGUCAUGCCAAUGGCACUGCCCGGUAGCUAAAUGCGGAAGAGAUAAGUGCUGAAAGCAUCUAAGCACGAAACUUGCCCCGAGAUGAGUUCUCCCUGACUCCUUGAGAGUCCUGAAGGAACGUUGAAGACGACGACGUUGAUAGGCCGGGUGUGUAAGCGCAGCGAUGCGUUGAGCUAACCGGUACUAAUGAACCGUGAGGCUUAACCUU